rnacentral:rRNA from 1 species
CGACCUUGAAAUACCACCCUUUAAUGUUUGAUGUUCUAACGUGGACCCGUGAUCCGGGUUGCGGACAGUGUCUGGUGGGUAGUUUGACUGGGGCGGUCUCCUCCUAAAGAGUAACGGAGGAGCACGAAGGUUGGCUAAUCCUGGUCGGACAUCAGGAGGUUAGUGCAAUGGCAUAAGCCAGCUUGACUGCGAGCGUGACGGCGCGAGCAGGUGCGAAAGCAGGUCAUAGUGAUCCGGUGGUUCUGAAUGGAAGGGCCAUCGCUCAACGGAUAAAAGGUACUCCGGGGAUAACAGGCUGAUACCGCCCAAGAGUUCAUAUCGACGGCGGUGUUUGGCACCUCGAUGUCGGCUCAUCACAUCCUGGGGCUGAAGUAGGUCCCAAGGGUAUGGCUGUUCGCCAUUUAAAGUGGUACGCGAGCUGGGUUUAGAACGUCGUGAGACAGUUCGGUCCCUAUCUGCCGUGGGCGCUGGAGAACUGAGGGGGGCUGCUCCUAGUACGAGAGGACCGGAGUGGACGCAUCACUGGUGUUCGGGUUGUCAUGCCAAUGGCACUGCCCGGUAGCUAAAUGCGGAAGAGAUAAGUGCUGAAAGCAUCUAAGCACGAAACUUGCCCCGAGAUGAGUUCUCCCUGACCCUUUAAGGGUCCUGAAGGAACGUUGAAGACGACGACGUUGAUAGGCCGGGUGUGUAAGCGCAGCGAUGCGUUGAGCUAACCGGUACUAAUGAACCGUGAGGCUUAACCUU